AUGGCUGCUCUAGACACGUCCUGCCUCGUCGGCCCGGUGCCGUUCAAGGACGUCAACGGGGACGGCGACCACGUGAUCUCCCCGCCGGAUGAGUACGCAGACAUAGUUUCCGCCUUGCCGAGCAUCGGCGGCCCGGACUUGCACCUGCGGCUCUACCAGGACGUCUGGUUGUUCAACGAACUCGUCCCUGGGUUUAUCUCCGUCCAGCGGCGCUUCACCCCGCGGCCCAGGGACGUGCUCCUCGCGAGCCCUCCGAAGUGCGGCACCACCUGUCUCAAGGUGCUCGCCUUCGCGACCAUGGCGCGGGCCGCCUACCCGCUCUCCGACGCCGACCACCAGCUCCUCCGCCUCAACCCGCACGAGUGCGUCCCCUUCAUGGAGGCCCUGUUCAGCGCUGGUCAGGAAGCCAAGCUGGACGCGCUGCCGUCGCCUAGGCUCCUGCACACGCACAUGCACCACUCCAUGCUGCCUCGCUCCCUCGCCGACAACCCCGACUGCAAGAUCAUCUUCGUCUGCAGGGAGCCCAAGGACAUGCUGGUUUCCACAUGGCACUUCAUCAAAAGCGCAGGGGGCAACAGCAACUCAUCCUUCUCCGACCUCUUCGAGCUGGCAUGCGAGGGUAAGAACCCCUAUGGCCCCAUCUGGGGCCACAUCCUGGGCUACUGGAGAGCGAGCAAAGCAGCUCCGGGGAGAGUCCUGUUCCUGAGGUACGAAGAGAUGUUGGCCGAUCCGGUCAGCGCUGUCAGGGAGCUCGCGCGGUUCCUCGGCGUGCCGUUCUCGCCGGCCGAGGAGGCGGCGGGGUUGCCGACGGACAUUGCCGAGAUGUGCAGCAUCGACACGAUGAGAGGCCUCGACGCCAACAAAACAGGAAGCAGUGGGACGUUCGUCAAGUUCCCGCAUGAAACCUUCUUCCGAAAGGGGGUCGAGGGGGACUGGGUGAACCAUAUGACCCCGGAGAUGGCCCGGCGCAUCGAUGCCAUUGUCGAGGACAAGCUCCGUGGAUCCGGCCUCACCUUCUCGUCGUGA
rnacentral:rRNA from 1 species